GACGAACGCUGGCGGCGUGCUUAACACAUGCAAGUCGAACGGAAAGGCCUCUUUCGGGGGGUACUCGAGUGGCGAACGGGUGAGUAACACGUGAGUAACCUGCCCUUGACUUUGGGAUAACUUCAGGAAACUGGGGCUAAUACCGGAUAGGAGCUCCUGCUGCAUGGUGGGGGUUGGAAAGUUUCGGCGGUUGGGGAUGGACUCGCGGCUUAUCAGCUUGUUGGUGGGGUAGUGGCUUACCAAGGCUUUGACGGGUAGCCGGCCUGAGAGGGUGACCGGCCACAUUGGGACUGAGAUGCGGCCCAGACUCCUACGGGAGGCAGCAGGGGGGAAUAUUGCACAAUGGGUGGAAGCCUGAUGCAGCAACGCCGUGUGCGGGAUGACGGCCUUCGGGUUGUAAACCGCUUUCGCUCAUGACGAAGCUUUGUGUGACGGUAGUGGGUAAAGAAGCACCGGCUAACUACGUG
rnacentral:rRNA from 1 species